rnacentral:rRNA from 1 species
CCUGCCAGUAGUCAUAUGCUUGUCUUAAAGAUUAAGCCAUGCAUGUCUAAGUUUAAGCGCGUUUGCACCGCGAAACUGCGAAUGGCUCAUUAAAUCAGUUAUAGUUUAUUUGAUGAUACCCCAAAAACUACUUGGAUAACCGUAGUAAUUCUAGAGCUAAUACAUGCCAAAAAAUCUAACUGCAAAUUUUUUUGCGGAAAGAUUGCAUCUAUUAGAUACAAAAACCAACGCGAUCGUGAUCUCAGCAAUGGGUUUUGCGGUCGCUCCAGAGGUGAUUCUAGAUAGGGUGCGAAUCGCAUGACCUUUUAGCGUCGGCGAUGCUUCAUUCAAAUUUCUGCUCUAUCAGCUUUCGAUGGUAGUGUAGCGGACUACCAUGGCCGUAACGGGUAACGGGGAAUUAGGGUUUGAUUCCGGAGAGGGUGCCUGAGAAAUGGCAACCACUUCCAAGGAAGGCAGCAGGCGCGCAAAUUACCCAAUCCCGACACGGGGAGGUAGUGACGAGAAAUAACAAUGUGGGGUCCGACAAGGAUUUCACAAUUGGAAUGAGUACGACUUAAACAGCCUAACGAGGAACAAUUGGAGGGCAAGUCUGGUGCCAGCAGCCGCGGUAAUUCCAGCUCCAAUAGCGUAUAUUAAAUUUGCUGCAGUUGAAAAGCUCGUAGCUGAACUUCGGUGAAGUGGGGACAUGGUCUGCCGGGAUGGUGUGUACUGGUCCUUCUUCACUUCUUUGUGGAAAUAAUAAUUGUCUCUAUCUGCACUUAAUUGAGUGGAUAGAAGACUCCACAUCGUUUACUUUGAAAAAAUUAGAGUGUUCAAAGCAGGCCACUUUUUAGUGCCUUGAAUACAUUAGCAUGGGAUAACAGAAUAUGGCGUCAAAAGAGAUUUUUCAUCGAAUCUCUUUGUGCUCGAUUUUGUUGGCUUUCUUUACCCAUUGAGCAUCGCAAUGAUUAAUAGGGAUGAUCGGGGUGGUUUGUAUUCAAACGCGAGAGGUGAAAUUCUUGGACCGUUUGAAGACAAACUUCUGCGAAAGCAUUCCACAAGGGCGUCCUCAUUAGUCAAGAACGAAAGUUGAGGGAUCGAAGACGAUCAGAUACCGUCGUAGUCUUAACGGUAAACUAUGCCGACCAGGGAUUGGAGGUCGUUACGUGGAAGACUCCCCCAGAACCUUGUGAGAAAUCAUUAAGUCUUUGGGUUCUGGGGGGAGUAUGGUCGCAAGGCUGAAACUUAAAGGAAUUGACGGAAGGGCACCACCAGGAGUGGAGCCUGCGGC